AGUGGAUGGGGAGCAACCUAGUUUGCGUGUGUAAAGGUAGUGCCAAGAAAAGCGGUGAUCAUGAUGAAAAUCAAUUCCCGGUACCCGAAACCGACACAGGUGGGCAAGUAGAGAAUACUAAGGGGCGCGAGGUAACUCUCUCCAAGGAACUCGGCAAAAUGACCCCGUAACUUAGGGAGAAGGGGUGCCACCGAGAGGUGGUCGCAGUGAAGAGGCCCAGGCGACUGUUUAGCAAAAACAUAGGUCUCUGCAAACUCGAAAGAGGAGGUAUAGGGGCUGACGCCUGCCCAGUGCCGGAAGGUUAAAGAAGUUGGUCAGUCUUAGGAUGAAGCUAGCGACUGAAGCCCCGGUGAACGGCGGCCGUAACUAUAACGGUCCUAAGGUAGCGAAAUUCCUUGUCGGGUAAGUUCCGACCCGCACGAAGGGCGUAACGAUCUGGGCGCUGUCUCGGAGAGAGGCUCGGCGAAAUAGGAUUGUCUGUGAAGAUACGGACUACCUGCAUUUGGACAGAAAGACCCUAUGAAGCUUUACUAUAGCUUGGAAUUGUGUUCGGGCUUCCUGUGCGCAGGAUAGGUGGGAGGCGUAGAAGGUAUUCUUGUGGGGAUACUGGAGCCAACGGUGAGAUACCACUCUCAGGAGGCUAGAAUUCUAACUUAAUUAAGGACAGUUUCAGGUGGGUAGUUUGACUGGGGCGGUCGCCUCCAAAAAGGUAACGGAGGCGUACAAAGGUUCCCUCAGACUGGUUGGAAAUCAGUCGAAGAGUGCAAAGGCAGAAGGGAGCUUGACUGCGAGAAGUACAGUUCGAGCAGGGUGGAAACACGGUCUUAGUGAUCCGACGGUGCUGUGUGGAAGGGCCGUCGCUCAACGGAUAAAAGUUACUCUAGGAUAACAGGCUGAUCUCCCCCAAGAGUUCACAUCGACGGGGAGGUUUGGCACCUCGAUGUCGGCUCAUCGCAACCUGGGGCGGAAGUACGUCCCAAGGGUUGGGCUGUUCGCCCAUUAAAGCGGUACGUGAGCUGGGUUCAGAACGUCGUGAGACAGUUCGGUCCAUAUCCGAUGUAGGCGUGAGAAUAUUGAGAGGAGCCUUCCUUAGUACGAGAGGACCGGGAAGGACGCACCGCUGGUGUACCUGUUAUGAUGCCAAUUGUAAACGCAGGGUAGCCAAGUGCGGAGAGGAUAACCGCUGAAAGCAUCUAAGUGGGAAGCCCACCUCAAGAUGAGUAUUCUGGUGUAAGGUCACGGGAAGACGACCCGUAAAUAGGCACGAGGUGGAAGUGCAGAGAUGUAUGAAGCCGAAGUGUACUAAUAGACCGUCGGCUUGA
rnacentral:rRNA from 1 species